AUUGAACGCUGGCGGCAGGCCUAACACAUGCAAGUCGAACGAGUGGCGGACGGGUGAGUAAUGUCUGGGAAACUGCCUGAUGGAGGGGGAUAACUACUGGAAACGGUAGCUAAUACCGCAUCCCAUCGGAUGCUCCCAGAUGGGAUUAGCUAGUAGGUGGGGUAAAGGCUCACCUAGGCUACGAUCCCUAGCUGGUCUGCGAGGAUGACCAGCCACACUGGAACUUAGACACGGUCCAGCAUCCUACGGGAGGCAGCAGUGGUGAAUAUUGCACAAUGGGCGCAAGCCUGAUGCAGCCAUGCCGCGUGUAUGAAGAAGGACUUCGGGUUGUAAAGUACUUUCAGCGGGGAGGCGUUACCCGCAGAAGAAGCACCGGCUAACUCCGUGCCAGCAGCCGCGGUAAUUC
rnacentral:rRNA from 1 species